AUUGAACGCUGGCGGCAGGCUUAACACAUGCAAGUCGAGCGGAGAUGAGGUGCCUGCACCUUAUCUUAGCGGCGGACGGGUGAGUAAUGCUUAGGAAUCUGCCUAUUAGUGGGGGACAACAUUCCGAAAGGAAUGCUAAUACCGCAUACGCCCUACGGGGGAAAGCAGGGGAUCUUCGGACCUUGCGCUAAUAGAUGAGCCUAAGUCGGAUUAGCUAGUUGGUGGGGUAAAGACCUACCAAGGCGACGAUCUGUAGCGGGUCUGAGAGGAUGAUCCGCCACACUGGGACUGAGACACGGCCCAGACUCCUACGGGAGGCAGCAGUGGGGAAUAUUGGACAAUGGGCGGAAGCCUGAUCCAGCCAUGCCGCGUGUGUGAAGAAGGCCUUUUGGUUGUAAAGCACUUUGAGCGAGGAGGAGGCUACCUGGAUUAAUACUCUAGGAUAGUGGACGUUACUCGCAGAAUAAGCACCGGCUAACUCUGUGCCAGCAGCCGCCGCCGUA
rnacentral:rRNA from 1 species